UACAGCCAUAUCACAUUAAAACAUUCAUUCUUAUUCAAUCACUGAAGUUGAGCAGCGUUGAGCCUGGUCAGUACUUGGAUGGGUGAUCGCAAGGGAAUAUCAUGUGUUGUAAG